UACGGGCAGACUAGAGUACUGCAGGGGAGACUGGAAUUCCUGGUGUAGCGGUGGAAUGCGCAGAUAUCAGGAGGAACACCGGUGGCGAAGGCGGGUCUCUGGGCAGUAACUGACGCUGAGGAGCGAAAGCGUGGGGAGCGAACAGGAUUAGAUACCCUGGUAGUCCACGCCGUAAACGGUGGGUACUAGGUGUGGGUUCUUUCCUGAGGAUCCGUGCCGUAGCUAACGCAUUAAGUACCCCGCCUGGGGAGUACGGCCGCAAGGCUAAAACUCAAAGGAAUUGACGGGGGCCCGCACAAGCGGCGGAGCAUGUGGAUUAAUUCGAUGCAACGCGAAGAACCUUACCUGGGCUUGACAUGCACUGGAUCGCCGUAGAGAUACGGUUUUCUUCGGACUGGUGUACAGGUGGUGCAUGGCUGCCGUCAGCUCGUGUCGUGAGAUGUUGGGUUAAGUCCCGCAACGAGCGCAACCCUUGUCCUGCGUUGCCAGCACGUAAUGGUGGGGACUCGUGGGAGACUGCCGGGGUCAACUCGGAGGAAGGUGGGGAUGACGUCAAGUCAUCAUGCCCCUUAUGUCCAGGGCUUCACACAUGCUACAAUGGCUGGUACAGAGGGUGGCGAUACCGUGAGGUGGAGCGAAUCCCUUAAAGCUGGUCUCAGUUCGGAUCGUAGUCUGCAACUCGACUGCGUGAAGUCGGAGUCGCUAGUAAUCGCAGAUCAGCAACGCUGCGGUGAAUACGUUCCCGGGCCUUGUACACACCG
rnacentral:rRNA from 1 species